rnacentral:lncRNA from 1 species
CGGUGGAUCAGAGUUGGGCGCCGGUGUUGGCUGUCGGAGUCGCACCCCGGUGAGGUGGUACCCGCCCCUGUAAUGCCCAGCUGGACCACGCCCCGUCGUGUCGCACCUCGCGCCCUCCUCUGGCUGGAGUAGUGGCGCGUACCUUGCACGUUUCUGUGGCCUGCCGUCCACGGAGAAGGCGGGGAGGACCAGAAGCUCGGGAUCCCAGCACGACCUUGGCGGAUCCGGCUGCUGAAUCGGCGGAUCCACGGAGGAGAAGGCGGGGAGGACCAGAAGCUCGGGAUCCCAACGAGACCUUGGCGGAUCCGGCUGCUGAAUCGGCGGAUCCGGCUGCUGGAUCAGCGGAUCCGGCAGGGGCGGUGGGGCGCCGGCCUUUUCUCGACCGAACCAGCGGAGCACGGGUUAGCCCGGGGAGGGAGCGGAGUUGGGCCUGCCGUUGCUUGUCUCGAUGCAGCCUCCGGAAGCCUCGACCUGCAGAUGAAUCGGGGCAGGUGGGACGGCGGAGAUCACGGGAGAUGGGGGAAGACGGAGCACAUGGGAGAGAUUCGAUCCUCUCUGUGGAAGAGCAGCCGGUGGCUCGGGGUGGAGGAAGAAAGGAGACAGAGGGGCAAG